rnacentral:lncRNA from 1 species
GCUUAUUUUCCUGUUACUUGGCCAACCGAGUGUGAGUGAACAGGAGCCCGAGAGCUUAAAUGUGGGAUCUAGAUAAGGUGUCGACUGGGUUGUGGGCGUUUGUCUCCAUGUUAGGGAGAGGCAACUGAGAACGGUGACUUUGGCUUGUUUUGAGAGAGCCUGGGUUUUGACAGCAGGACGGCGAAGGGAGCGCUUGGAGAGGCUGGAAGCUCGACGUCUUAGGGAGCUGCCUGCGGGCACUGGGUUGACGCCAAGAGGUUGUCGGCAAGGGCAGGGCUCUUGCCCUCUGCUGUACCUAGGCUCUGCAACUGGGGGCUGCGAGCCUUCUGCGGCUCUUUGGUUUCAAGGACACAGCGAGCUGCUCAGGACUUUGGGAGCCAACAUCUGUCUGACUGGUGACGUCAGCAGCCCGUGUAAUCCUCUUGUGCUGAAGGCAGAUGCCUUAUUUGUUUGGCUGGAGCGAGCCAUUAAUCCCUAAUUCUGGAUCAGCAAGCGAGGGGGAAAGACCGGACCGCUCCGACCCACCCCCUCCCUACCCCCACCUCCCACCUUAAAGCACCUUAUACCACGGAAGGCUCUCAGCCUCUUCUUUCCUCUGCGAACGCGCUGAGCAGCGAUUGAAAACGUUUUGGUCCUCUGCAGGUUUGAACAGGGCUAGCAGGUCUCUCUCCGGAUUUCUAGGGCUAUGGGUAUAUGUAAUUCUUUCUCUCAUCGAUCGUUUCGAUUCUCUUGCCGGUCUUGCAGUUUGCAGGGUCCUAAACGAAGAGGGGUGGAGAUUCGAGAGUGCGGGUCUGGCGUGUGGUCCAAGGGAGGGGGUGAGGCUGGGAAAGGGGGUGCAGAAUGCGGGAACGGCUGGGACUGCACAGAAGGACCAUCUGCGGACUCGUUUUCACUGCUCCAGCUCCCGAAAUCGUUUCUCUGGACGCGGCAGUAUCCGCAGCGCAUGCACCCUCCUCUGGACUUCCGCAGCCCAGACCUGCGCUUACAGUCAUCGCGCCACCCCCUCCCCCCGGGCUGCGGGCCCCGCGCUCCGUGGGCUCAGGGUCCCCUCCGCGUCCCCCUGAAGCCUGGGGACGGAGGUCGCGACCGGCCGACUGGGGUCCUGUCCUCUUGUCACCUUGUAUCCCUCGCAUGCUCCCUCCCGCCUCGUGUCCCUCUCCCCACCCUCCCCCUCCUCUCUCCCGCCUCCCUAACACUGCGCUUUGAUUCUGUUUUUCAGGGGCGCAUUCUGGGGUCUCUGCGCAAGACCAGCUCUCAGCUCUCUCUCCUUUCCUCGGACUCUGGAGCGGGAGCGGGCCUUUCCCUCGGGUCGACCACGCCGUAGGGGACGCCGUGAAAAGAGCCGUCGCGCCCGCUGCCUCCUGCCCGCUGCGCAGAGGGCUCCGCCCGUAGAGGUCAACUUCCCUCACCCUUUUCUCUCUCCUGCUUGCCCUCCCUCCGCCCGGCCCAGGCGCUUCCAGCCCCAGACUGUGGCCACUGGCUGAGGAGUGCGAGUCGGCUGCGCUGCCCUGAGCCUAAUCCCUCUUCCGGGCCCAGACCCGAGGUCCGCGCUCCUGGGCAGUGGGGAAGCUUUAGUGAGCAGGCUUUUCUCUCCGCAGCAAACUUGUAGCCAGACCAGAUGGGCCGCCCAGCUCUCUCGGGACUAGGCAGGUGCGGAUGAGUUAAUUUUUCCGCAUUACAAAGAAAGAUGACCCAGCCCGCCCUUGGACUCUCUUUUCCCAAAAUCUCCCAACCAAACCCGCGGUAACGUUAUCAAAGGACACAGAGCCCAGGCAUAUCUGUGUGUUUAUCUUACAGGCACACACGCAUGGUUUUCUCUUUUAUAUGCUAGAUUUCAUCCCUGACAGCAGAAAAUGAUUGGCAAUGGUUAUGACGGAGAACAUGCAAUAGCGUGGUCCUUAAAAACCUGCCAUUCCUUACAAGUGCCUUAGAAAGGAUUCAGGGCGAACCAACUGGGUUAAUUGCAUUCAGUAAAAUAACACGAUUACAAAAUUAGAUCUGUA